GACGAACGCUGGCAGCGUGCUUAACACAUGCAAGUCGAACGGAAAGGCCCAGCUUGCUGGGUACUCGAGUGGCGAACGGGUGAGUAACACGUGGGUGAUCUGCCCUGCACUCUGGGAUAAGCCUGGGAAACUGGGUCUAAUACCGGAUAUGACCAACUGUCGCAUGGUGGUUGGUGGAAAGCUCUUGCGGUGUGGGAUGGGCCCGCGGCCUAUCAGCUUGUUGGUGGGGUAAUGGCCUACCAAGGCGACGACGGGUAGCCGACCUGAGAGGGUGAUCGGCCACACUGGGACUGAGACACGGCCCAGACUCCUACGGGAGGCAGCAGUGGGGAAUAUUGCACAAUGGGCGCAAGCCUGAUGCAGCGACGCCGCGUGAGGGAUGACGGCCUUCGGGUUGUAAACCUCUUUCACCAGGGACGAAGCGUGAGUGACGGUACCUGGAGAAGAAGCACCGGCCAACUACGUGCCAGCCGCCGCCGUAAUAC
rnacentral:rRNA from 1 species